rnacentral:rRNA from 1 species
UUCGAUUGGGCAAGUCUGGUGCCAGCAGCCGCGGUAAUUCCAGCUCCAAUAGCGUAUAUUAAAGUUGUUGCAGUUAAAAAGCUCGUAGUUGAAUUUCGGGAUCGAUGGGUCGGUCAUGCCCUCGGUAUGUACUGGUCUCAUUGGUUCUCACCUUCUAAGGAACCAUGAUGUCAUUCGGUUGAUGUUGUGGGGAAUUAGGACUGUUACCUUGAAAAAAUUAGAGUGUUUAAAGCAGGCCAACGCUUGAAUACAUUAGCAUGGAAUAAUGAAAUAGGACAUCCGAUUCUAUUUUGUUGGUUUCUAGGAUCGAUGUAAUGAUUAAUAGGGAUAGUUGGGGGCAUUAGUAUUCAAUUGUCAGAGGUGAAAUUCUUGGAUUUAUUGAAGACUAACUACUGCGAAAGCAUUUGCCAAGGAUGUUUUCAUUAAUCAAGAACGAAAGUUAGGGGAUCGAAGACGAUCAGAUACCGUCGUAGUCUUAACCAUAAACUAUGCCGACUAGGGAUCGGAUGAUGUUAAUUUUUUAAUGACUCAUUCGGCGCCUUACGGGAAAC